GCUCAGGCUGGCGGGGGGCCGGGGUCGCCUGCUCCAGCUCGGGCUCCAGCGCCAGAACCGGGUCCAGAACCUUGAUUCCGGAAGCGGGCAACGGGGUGGUUGGUGGACUCGCCAGAGGGAAGGGACUUGAGGAGCCGGAGUCCGCGGAGUUGCCCGAGUCCAGGCGGGUGGGGAGCAGAGCAGCUGGAGCCCCUCGAGCGCCCUGCAGACGCAGCAGCCUCUUGUGGGGAGGGUCUCCCCCACCUCGGGCUGGACAAAGACAGCCUUUCCCCACAUCCCUCUGGGUUCUCUAGAGCAACAGCAAUACCCGCCCGGCAGGGGUGUGGCUUAGAGCCCCGCACCUCCUCGCCGCGCCGCGGGCCUGACUUCUAGCCUCGGGUCUCUGCAGCUGGCCCAGCGCUUCGGGCCGGUGUUCACGCUGUACGUGGGCUCUCAGCGCGUGGUGGUGAUGCACGGCUACAAGGCGGUGAAGGAAGCGCUGCUGGACUACAAGGACGAGUUCUCGGGCAGAGGCGACCUCCCCGCGUUCCAUGCGCACAAGGACAGGGGAAUCAUUUUUAAUAAUGGACCUACCUGGAAGGAGAUCCGGCGGUUUUCCCUGACCACCCUCCGGAACUAUGGGAUGGGGAAACAGGGCAACGAGAGCCGGAUCCAGAGGGAGGCCCACUUCCUGCUGGAAGCACUCAGGAAGACCCAAGGCCAGCCUUUUGACCCCACCUUCCUCAUUGGCUGCACACCC
rnacentral:sRNA from 1 species